GUCGAGCGGUAGCACAGAGAGCUUGCUCUCGGGUGACGAGYGGCGGACGGGUGAGUAAUGUCUGGGAAACUGCCUGAUGGAGGGGGAUAACUACUGGAAACGGUAGCUAAUACCGCAUAACGUCGCAAGACCAAAGAGGGGGACCUUCGGGCCUCUUGCCAUCAGAUGUGCCCAGAUGGGAUUAGCUAGUAGGUGGGGUAACGGCUCACCUAGGCGACGAUCCCUAGCUGGUCUGAGAGGAUGACCAGCCACACUGGAACUGAGACACGGUCCAGACUCCUACGGGAGGCAGCAGUGGGGAAUAUUGCACAAUGGGCGCAAGCCUGAUGCAGCCAUGCCGCGUGUAUGAAGAAGGCCUUCGGGUUGUAAAGUACUUUCAGCGGGGAGGAAGGCGAUAAGGUUAAUAACCUUGUCGAU
rnacentral:rRNA from 1 species